CCUCUUUAUUGCCGGUUCGGGGCCUAGCAACAAGAAUAUUGGUGGCUUCUGUCUCCUCUUUCCUCAUUGGAUCCAUUUCUAACUCAUCAGUGAUUUCUGCCCUCUUUUUCUGAAAUUUCCACCUGUUUUAAUCAUGCAGCAGGCACUUCUCUGGUGUCUUUAGCUGGAGCGAGCUUCCUCUAACCACCUCUGUCAAAAGCACACCCAAUCUCUCCUCCCAUCUACACCUCCACUUUCUUCAUCCCCAUUCCCGUCAUCACUCAUGUGAAUGCCAGGCCCACUGUGUCUACACCUCCAUCUCGAGUCAUCACUCCUCAAAUGGCUGAUGCAUGGGCACUCCUUUCAUUGACUUGUAAGCUCUUAAGUCUUGGGGUCCUGUCAUCACUUCCUUUCAUGCAAGACUGAGCACACAUCUAAAAUGAAUUAUCAGGCUGGGCUUGAUGGCUCAUGACUGUAAUCCCAGCAUUUUGGGAGGCUGAGGCAGGUGGAUCAUUUGAGGUCAGGAGUUUGAGACCAGCCUGACCAACAUGGUGAAACUGCUAAAAAUACAAAAACAAAAUUAUCUGGGCUUGGUGGCGUGCACCUGUAAUCCCAGCUACAUGGGCGAAUGAGACAGGAGAAUUGCUUGAACCCGGGAGGUGGAGGUUCCAGUGAGCCGAGAUCAUGCCACUGCACUCCAGCCUGGGCGACAGAGUGAGACUCCGUCUCAAUAAAAUAAAAAGAGUAACUCACAUCUUCUUUCCCUCAUUCAGAUUCACUCUCAGCUCUUUCCCCACUCUGCUCUGUGUCCUGAGGGGUUUACGCCGUGGGCUCCAUCCCUGGACUAGCUGGUCAUCAGCAGGAUUCGUCCAGGGGACCCCAUGAAUGAGGAAGACAAAAUUAGGGCCUUUGCUCCUCAACCCUCUCUGUGAGAAGCAAGGCAGCCGGGCCCCUCCCCAGCACACCCCACCCUGGAGGCCCGCCCUGUCCACAUCGCCUCUCACUGCAGGUCCGGGCGAGGCCUCCUUUGCUCCAGUUCAGUCUGAGAGGAAGAGCCUGCGCCUACUCCUAGAUCACAGGGCUCAGGUGAAGUCCAAGACUGUCAGAGGCGUGGAUAAAGUUAAAAUAUUUAACGUUCUCAGCGCCUGAUUAAUUUUGAGACUUAAGCUUUGGACUCAGAACUGAGUUGGACUCUUGCUUCACUUCACUUCACUGAGCUGCGUGGGCCUGGAGGGAUGGUAUGUUCUGUAACCUCAUCUGCAAAAUGGGAAUAGUUAUAGCACCUGUCUCAGAGUGACUGAAAGACCAGGUGAGCUCGUAUGUACAAAAUGAUGUCACCGUGUCUGCUUCAUAUUUAGAAAUAUUUAAUAACUGAGGAUUAUUCCUAUUAAUAUUAAUAGAUGAAUAAAAUAAGGUUUUCUUUUGCAUCUUCAUUGCAAAGAUAAGAGAGACUACAAUAUUUAAAAAUAAAAUGCUGGCUGGGUGUGGUGGCUCAUGUCUGUAAUCCCAGCACUUUGGGGGCUAAGGUGAGAGGAUUGCUUGAGCUCAGGAGUUUGAGACCAGCCUGGGGAACAUGGUUGUCUCCACAAAAAAUACAAAAAUUAGCUGGUGUGGUGGCAUAUGCCUGUAGUGUCAGCUACUGGGGAGGCUGAGGCAGGAGGAUUAAUUGAGUCCAGAAGGUGGAGGUUGCAGUGAACUGAGAUUACACCACUGCACACUAGCCUGGGUGACAGAAUGAGACCUCGUCUCAAAAAAAGAAAAAAAUAAGUAAAAUAAAACAGUAUAUGAUUAUCAUUAAUACAAAUGAAGUCAUUUGAAGGAUAUCAACUUUUUCUUUCUUUCUAACUUAUGGUACUGUUUUAAAAUUUAAUUGCCAUAAUUGUUAAAAUUAGAUGAAUGCUUCAGGAUAGAUAUUUUCCUGUUAUGUGUUCUACCAGGACAGUAUUAUCAAGAAUAUAUUGAAAUUAAUGCAAACCAAAAUGAACCAAACAUAACAAGCAUACAAUAUAAUUUUUUAAAUAUAUUUAACAUUUCAAACUGUAGAGAGGAAAUAUCACAUUGAGGUUGAAAAUCAAUUAAUUAUAACAUUAGAAAUGAAAUCGUAGAAAUAUUAGGAAACUCACAACUUGAAAAGCGUCUUCUUCAUGAAAUGUACCCUGGCUCUUAAGUACAGUACAGUGCUGAGAAUGUCACUGUACUCUUAUUACAGGAGGUAAUGAGGCCUUAAAUUGGGGAAAAUUUAAAGACUAGAGUAUUUUAUUGGUAUAACUUUCCAAAAUGAUUACUUAGGAAGCGAUUAAAUGGAUAAUUCAUCAGGAGAGUAGAAUAUGGAAACUGGGAUUAAAAGUAACCCUUGUCCGGCAGGGUGCGGUGGCUCACGCCUGUAAUCCCAACACUUUGGGAGGCCGAGGCAGGCAGAUCACAAGGUCAGGAGAUCGAAACCAUCCUGGCUAACAUGGUGAAACGCCGUCUCUACUAAAAAUACCAAUGGAUUAGCUGGGCGCAGUGGCGGGGGCCUGUAGUCCCAGCUACCUGG
rnacentral:lncRNA from 10 species